rnacentral:rRNA from 1 species
UGGUGGAUUCAUCUGUCUGCUUAAUUGCGACAACGAACGAGACCUUAACCUGCUAAAUAGCUACGCCAACACACGUUGGUGGGCAGCUUCUUAGAGGGACUUGCCAUGUAAAUGGCCGGAAGAAUAAGGCAAUAACA